CCUACGUGUGGCAGCAGUGGGGAAUAUUGGGCAAUGGGCGCAAGCCUGACCCAGCAACGCCGCGUGAAGGAUGAAGGUUUUCGGAUUGUAAACUUCUGUCGCGAGGGACGAAGAAUGACGGUACCUCGUAAUAAAUCCCCGGCUCACUACGUCCCAGCAGCCGCGGUAAUACGUAUGGGGCAAGCGUUGUCCGUAAAGACUGGGCGUAAAGGGAGAGUAGGCGGAUCAUUAAGUUAGAUGUGAAAUCCCGCGGCCUAACCGCGGAACUGCAGCUAAAACUGGCAAGAUGGAGUGCAGGAGAGGUGAGUGGAAUUCCUAGUGUAGCGGUGGAAUGCGUAGAUAUUAGGAGGAACACUAGAGGCGAAGGAGACUCACUGGACUGUAACUGACGCUGAGGCUCGAAAGCGUGGGGAGCAAACAGGAUUAGAUACCCUAGUAGUC
rnacentral:rRNA from 1 species